CAAUGUGUUAUCAGGACAGCCUGCUCCAUCACUGGGUGAACCCUGGAUACACUAGAAGCUGUUGUGGAAAAGAGGAUGAUGGCAAAAUUGGGUGCAUUCACGAAAAAUUCCCUCCAUCUCCUCCAGUAGGCGCUCUCUCGGAGCACUUUUAGCCACAGGCUCAUUCCACCAAUGUCUGCUAAGAAACUAACGGCGCUGGGGGUCUUUUCUGCUCACUGCUAUCAGGCAAUUCAAAGCUUCCACCCGAUGUACCUGCCACUUCCAGGUCAUACGACACCUCCUGCAUGCCCUUGGUUUGCUCCCAGUAAAUAUGCCUUAGGAGAAAUCUGGAAACUCAUUCACUAAAUACUCAAACCAUCAAGCUGACUUCUCUCUGGCCAAUGAAGGAUUACCUGUGUGCACUACCAGGCCACUGCAGAUGAUUCAAAAUGAAGUGGCACAUCUUUUAUUCAACCACCAAUUUCCACACUGGACCAGAGGUUGGCGCUGUACUUCUUUUCCCCUGCAGACUUACAGAAGACCCAGCAUCCUAAGCUUUCUUCUGGUACCCAGAAGUCUUCACCUUCCACUUCCUCUUUCCAUGGCUCCAGAUCCCACCUCCUCAUGAUAUCACUUCCA